rnacentral:rRNA from 1 species
GACGAACGCUGGCGGCGUGCUUAACACAUGCAAGUCGAACGGAAAGGCCCUGCUUUUGUGGGGUGCUCGAGUGGCGAACGGGUGAGUAACACGUGAGUAACCUGCCCUUGACUUUGUGGUAACUUCAGGAAACUGGGGCUCAUACCGGAUAGAAGCUCCUGCUGCGUGUUGUGGGUUGGAAAAUGUCGGCUGUUGGGGAUGGUCUAGGGGCUUCUCCGCUUGUUGGUGGGGUAGUGGCUUACCCAGGCUUUGACGGGUAGCCGGCCUGAGCGGGGGACCGGUCACAUCGGGAAUGAGAGGCGGCCGAGGCGCCUACGGGAGGCAGCGGGGGAGAAUAUUGCACAAUGGGCGGAAGCGUGAUGCAGGAAUGCCGCGCGCGAGAUGACGUCCUUCGGGUUGUACCGCUGUCGCCGGUGACGUAGCGUGAGUGACGGUAAUGGGUAAAGAAGCACCGGCUAACUACGUG